AUUGAACGCUGGCGGCAGGCUUAACACAUGCAAGUCGAACGAGUGGCGGACGGGUGAGUAAUGCUUGGGAAUCUAGCUUAUGGAGGGGGAUAACUACGGGAAACUGUAGCUAAUACCGCGUACCAUAGGAUGAGCCCAAGUGGGAUUAGGUAGUUGGUGAGUUAAAGGCUCACCAAGCCGGCGAUGUCUAGCUGGUCUGAGAGGAUGACCGGCCAAGCUGGGACUGAAACACGGCCCGGACACCACCGGGAGGCAGAAGUGGGAAAUAUUGCGAAAGGGGGACAGCCUAGCGCAGACAUGCCGCGGGAAUAGAGAAGGCCUUCGGGUUGUAAGGUUCUUUCGGUAGCAAGGCGUUAACUACAGAGAAAGCACCGGCUAACUCCGUGCCAGCAGCCGCGGUAAUUC
rnacentral:rRNA from 1 species